rnacentral:lncRNA from 1 species
UAGACAUUGUACUGAUCUUUUAAGAGGGAUCCUAAAAAUGUCCUGAUAAUUAAUUUCUUUUUAAGUGUGCAGAAAAUGGAAAUUACAACAGAGAUUAUUAGUUUGCAGCAGUAUUCAGAAAUCACAGAAAGCAGCCACUUUGUCCUGAUGCUUGCUGAUGAUAUGGCCUGCAAUCCUAGAAAUCACAAACCAGGUUAACAUUGCUUGACUCCUGGUGAUAUGAACUCUCAGCCCUGAUUUCUCCAUGGAAGAUGAGAUGAUGAGCAGAAUGAUAA